AAGUCGUAACAAGGUUUCCGUAGGUGAACCUGCGGAAGGAUCAUUACAUUUAGUAGCUUGCUACUGCUAAGAGGGUCUGUUAGGCUGUAUAGUAUUGCUACUGACGAGCAGCAUGAUCCUCUAAGUCAACCCUUGUCUUUUGCGUACCUACGUUUCCUCAGCGGGUAUAACCCGCUGGCUGGACAAAAUUAAAACCCUUGAAUAUUCAAUUAGUGUCUGAGAAACUUAAUAAUUACAACUUUCAACAACGGAUCUCUUGGUUCUGGCAUCGAUGAAGAACGCAGCGAAAUGCGAUAAGUAGUGUGAAUUGCAGAAUUCAGUGAAUCAUCGAAUCUUUGAACGCACAUUGCGCCCCUUGGUAUUCCAUGGGGCAUGCCUGUUCGAGCGUCAUUUGUACCCUCAAGCUCUGCUUGGUGUUGGGUGUAUGUCUAUGCUUUUGCUUGGACUCACCUCAAAGCAAUUGGCAGCCAGUGUUUUGGCAUAGAAGCGCAGCACAUCUUGCACUUCCAGUCUUAAACACCAGCUUCCAGUAAGUCCCUUUACGUUUGACCUCGGAUCAGGUAGGGAUACCCGCUGAACUUAAGCAUAUCAAUAAGCGGAGGAAAAGAAACCAACAGGGAUUGCCUUAGUAACGGCGAGUGAAGCGGCAACAGCUCAAAUUUGAAAUCUGGCUCUCUUAGGGCCCGAGUUGUAAUUUGCAGAGGGCGCUUUGGUGUCGGCAGCGGUCCAAGUUCCUUGGAACAGGACGUCACAGAGGGUGAGAAUCCCGUACGUGGUCGCUAGCCUUUGCCGUGUAAAGCCCCUUCGACGAGUCGAGUUGUUUGGGAAUGCAGCUCUAAAUGGGAGGUAAAUUUCUUCUAAAGCUAAAUACUGGCCAGAGACCGAUAGCGCACAAGUAGAGUGAUCGAAAGAUGAAAAGCACUUUGGAAAGAGAGUCAAAUAGCACGUGAAAUUGUUGAAAGGGAAGCGCUUGCAGCCAGACUUGCCUGUAGUAGUUUAUCUAGACUUUUGUCUAGUGCACUCUUCUGCAGGCAGGCCAGCAUCAGUCUAGGCGAUUGGAUAAAGGUCUCUAUCACGUACCUCUCUUUGGGGAGGCCUUAUAGGGGAGACGUCAUGCAACCAGUCUGGACUGAGGUCUGCGCAUCUGCUAGGAUGCUGGCGUAAUGGCUGUAAGCGGCC
rnacentral:rRNA from 1 species